rnacentral:rRNA from 1 species
GACGAACGCUGGCGGCGUGCUUAACACAUGCAAGUCGAACGGAAAGGCCCUGCUUUUGGGGGGUGCUCGAGUGGCGAACGGGUGAGUAACACGUGAGUAACCUGCCCUUGACUGUGGGAUAACUUCAGGAAACUGGGGCUAAUACCGGAUAGGAGCUCCUGCUGCAUGGUGGGGGUUGGAAAGUUUCGGCGGUUGGGGAUGGACUCGCGGCUUAUCAGCUUGUUGGUGGGGUAGUGGCUUACCAAGGCUUUGACGGGUCGCCGGCCUGAGAGGGUGACCGGCCACAUUGGGACUGAGCUACGGCCCAGACUCCUACGGGAGGCAGCAGUGGGGAAUAUUGCACAAUGGGCGGACGCCUGAUGCAGCAACGCCGCGUGCGGGAUGACGGCCUUCGGGUUGUAAACCGCUUUCGCCUGUGACGAAGCGUGAGUGACGGUAAUGGGUGAAGAAGCACCGGCUAACUACGUG